CGGGCCAACCUCGGGCUUAACGGCCCACCCUCGGGCUUACCAGCCCUCCCAAACCAGGUGGGGCCCCACAAACGCUUCCCCUACCCAGUGCGGGCGGAGAAGCGGGGUCCAUAUGGCAGGUGAAGACGAGAAUCCACUCUGGAGCCGGAUUUGCCUUCUGCAGAAUGCAGACUAGCUGAAUCAUCAGCCCCAUCGCCCAAGGCAGGCAAAACAAGUGGAAUUCUUCAAAGACCAUACCUGGAUGGGGAAAUCCUCGGGGAAGGCCGGGGAACCCUGGGACAUCUUCCGCGAGGUGCAGGCCCUACCAGGCCUCGGGAGGAGGCAGGCCAAGUCGAUGACACUCAUUCUCCUGCAUUCUGACGUUUCCAGCAUGAAGAAGGUGUCCCUGGCGCUUCCGGUCCCAGGGACGCCCAGCAGAUUCUGAAAUCCCAGUUCCCUGGCAGAAUCCACACAGGAGGUACAGUAUGAAGUUGUCAGAGUCUCAGGAAACAUUUCCUCCUCCUCGGAAAGAUUGGAUUUAACCAUGGGAACAGAUAUUUACUCUGAACUUCAACAGCUUUAAAGAAAUGUAGAAGAACCCCAAACAGGGCAAUGACACACAUGCUGGUGCCACAUGGCUGAAAUCCCAGAGCUCCCAGAGGCUCGGACAGAGGUUCAUAGUUUUGAGCCCAACCCUGGCAAUUCAAUAAUUUAGUGAACCUUGUCUCAAAAUAAAAAAUUUAAGGGGCCAGGGAUUUAGCUCAGUGGUGCUGCCACCUGCCUUGCAAGCCCAAGGUCCCGAGUUCGAUCCCAGGUACCAAAAAAAAAAUUUAAAAAGGGCUGAGAGAUACCUCAGUGCAAAGGCCCUGUAUUCAACCUUCAAUGCCAUAAACAAACAGUUAAAUAAAAUCUAUGGCUUUAUA
rnacentral:lncRNA from 1 species